CUCUCUCUCUCUCUCUCUCUCUCUCUCUCUCUCUCUCUCUCGCUCGCUCGCUUGGAUUCAAGAGCAACAUUUCUCUGUCACUAUACGUCACAGAGUCCACAAUUUCUUUCCCUUUUCUCUUUGAUUUUCUUUCCGUUGGCUACCAAAAAAAUCUGAGAGCAACAUUUCGCACGAAAGCAAGCCACUCCAGUCAUUACCCGUCGACGCAGUACCAUUCAAGCCAUCUGGAUGUUAGGAAAGGUGUUUUGUUCAUUGAUUUUCCACCUGUCCUCCAACUACUGCUAAAAAGAUUUGAGUAUGACUUUAUGCGAGAUACCAUGGUAAAGAUAAAUGACCAAUAUGAGUUCCUGUUGCAACUUGAUCUCGAUAGAGAGAAUGGAAAAUACCUAUCGCCUGAUGCAGGCAGGAAUGUUCGCAACCUUUACACUCUUCACAGGUGGAUGGCUAUGUUAAGAUAUUCCCGAAAGUUGCACAUGGUUGGAUGGUUAGAUAUGAUGUAAAAGACAAGCCAGCUGUGAAGCCUGCCGAGGAGGCCCAUCAGAACCUGUUGGUGUGGUUUGCUAAGAAUGUUAAGUGAGAAUUGGGGAGUCAGUUUCUCUUUUGUUCAGUCUUGGUUUCAUAUUAUUAUGAGACAAGAGUGUUGUCUUAGACAGAAUCAUGGCAUUUCCAGAUGGUUGGGACUACCUAUUAUUGAGUCUGUAUUACUAGUAACGUCUGAAUUCCAACAAAAUGAAUAAUGGGUAUUAGUUUAUAAUUCUUUAUCCAAAAGCAUGGCUGUUUGAAAGCAAAA